rnacentral:lncRNA from 1 species
AGUCGUCUAUGAGAAGGACAAUGGAAGAUCUCGAGGUUUUGGAUUCGUUACUUUUGAAACUGCUGAGGAUUUACAGGCUGCUUUGAAGGCUAUGAACGGCGUGGUAAGAACAAUUUCGGGAGAUUAGUUUUGCGAUCUCAUGUUAGUCUUAUGAUAUUUCAGUCUAACUAUAUAACCACAUUCCUUGCAAUAUUUUUAGGAGGUUCAGGAUCGGCCGCUGCGAUUGAAUUUGGCUGCAGAGAGGAAACCUUCUUCUCCUCCUCCAGUAAUUAAGGAAAGUACAGCAAGCAAUGUUGAUAGUUCACCUUCAUCUCCUCCUCCAGUAAUUGAGGAAAGUACAGCAAGCAAUGUUGAUAGUUCACCUUCAUCUCCUCCUCCAGUAAUUGAGGAAAGUACAGCAAGCAAUGUUGAUAGUUCGGAAUUGGUGUCUAGCGCAAGUGCAUAAGAAAAUAUGUUUGAUCAAAGUUUUGCCUGCAAAAUGCACAUCAUUUAGCUUUUCUUUUCUCUAAACUAUAUUAUCUGUCAAAGUGACUUGUACACUAGAUUUUCAGACAGUUGUGAGAUCUAUCACCAUAUGAGGGGCUUAAUGUCCAUUAUAUGGUUCGUAAUUGUGAAGAACAACCUUCCAGAACUUUGAUGGGCUAAGAUUUAUUCAAGGGACGAUUUAUUUAAAUAUACGCUUCAUGGAGGGUGUAAACGCGUUGGAAAUGAAUGCAAAAUGAUUUUUCCAUUUUUAUGAGUAUAAUCUCAAAUGGGGGGGGAGAAGUCUAAACAAAGGCGAAGUCCACGGAAGCAUAAAAUUACACGAUUUGAACUGUGUGAUUAGGUUACCACAGAAACCAUAGGUACAAUCCAAGGCAAUAGAGAACCGGGUCGAAACAAAACCAUGACCGGCAUGAGACUCAUUAACAAAAACAUAGUUGCCCAUUGAAUCUUGGCUUCUCCUAGUAAGGUUUUUUAUAUUACCUGUUUGGUUAACAUAGAAACAACAAUCUGUCCAUCACAUACUUUGGCAGAACUGCCAAACAAUUUCAGUUUCACUUCAAAGAUGCUAUAUAUACGCUCUUCCAAGAAAAUGUUGGAUGGAGUAGCUGAGCAUCUAAACAGGUUUGAAUAACAGCAAAGAGAAGAGCCAAACCAUCAACACGUUUGUCAUCUGUUUUUUAUGCAGAAUUAUUGCCAGCUAGAAGAGCAUCAGCUGCAGAAUCCAUGUCGUGCGGGAAAAACAUCCUGCAAAGCAGUAUUUUCCUUAGAGCUCCAGACUAUAUAAUAGAUAAGCAACACACACGAUAGUAUACUAAAAGAAUCAAUUUUUAUGCGAAUCAAACACCAGCUUAUUAGGUAAACAGCAUGUCAUUCAAUUCAUUUCAUUCUAUAUACUAGUAGUUUAGGUCUAGGUUCAAAACAGUCCACCAGUAAAAACUCUUAGCAUCUUAUAACUAGGGGACGUAAUCCCACACAAUGAAAUAUUAAUACUAAUAUCUGCCUUAAGAAAAAGUUCCCUUAAAGGUCAUUUUUGUUGAAAAAAGUAUAUACAUCAGUACAGCCCACUAGUAAUUUAGUUUUCCAAGCAAAUAAAUAGGAUCAAUGAUUCUAUAAGUGAUCACUGAUCAGUUCAUUCAGUAAUGGACAAAUCCCCAGAGACAAACAUAUAUACCUGGCAGUUUGGGUCAAUUUCUACUGAGUUAUUCCGUGUCAUUGAUGCCUUACACCAGCAACGCACCUCAAGAACUGCCUGGAAAAUUAAGUCAAUCAGACAUAUCUUCAGGAUCGUCUUUAACGAAAGAAAGGCAACAGAUUAACAUAAGAAGCAUUCUUGAAGCCAAUAUUAACAACAUGGAGUGAACAUACAAAUCCUAACUAAACAAGGUUCAUUGCGGCCUUUGACAUGGCAUCUUGAUCAUACUUCUCUUUCUCCUUCUAAGAGACCCACUUAGAUAAGCAAACCAUCCGGCAGAGUGUUCUUAUUCACAGUAUGGUGAGUCUGUCUCAACAUCAAUUCUACUCAAAGGCAAACCUGACANNNNNNNNNNNNNNNNNNNNNNNNNCGAGAGAUCUUGUCUUCUGGUUUUACAACUGACAGUACUAACGUUUAGUCUUUGUACAGGUAUUAGUUGCUUGCUGCUUAGGCUUCUGCCUUGAGCAUUGGAUUGUGGUUUGACACACCAACUCAGGUAGCUUAGUCUCUUAACUCAUGUAGUCUGAAGUUCCUGUCACCCUUUUUGGCAGGCCAUUUUCGCUGGCAGUCCUAUCUCCUUCAAAGGCCUCCUGUUUGCUGUUUGUUAAAACCUUGGGUGCCCAAAACCUCCAAGAAGAGGCAUGUGAUAUUUGAUAAGACCUACAAAGUAUAGGCAAUGACGGAUAAAAAGGGAUUAGUAGCCAUUCCCCGUUAUUCGUGUGGUCGUUCUUUAUGCUCGCACUACGUGCUGAUGCUUCUGACCAUGUGCCCCAUGAUAUUUUUGUCCAGAGUCUGUCAAGUGAAAGGAUCCACUUUCUUGGAUCCCAAUGCUUUUGUCUCAUGACUUCACCCUGACCAGGGUUAAGAGCUAUGAGGUCUCAUCCUCAUUACCAUUUUUUGAUCUGCUUCACCCUGACUUUCAAUGUCAGUGGUUAAGGAACCAUUUGUGAUCACCUUACAGUUUGGCUUGUUUCGUCGAGGUUGAUAUGACCCUCUGACUAAAUCCCACCAUGUGUUUGACGACUCUUGUAUGGAUAUAGUGUGUGAUGUUUGUUCCCUUUGUUGUUGGUGUGGUUAUUUGCUUUCUCUUCUCAUCUGCCAUUUCUGAAGGAGUCGUCACGAUUCACCUUCUGAGGAAGUUGAACGUAUGUAGCGUUUAGACUUGAGCUUGACUCGCGUCCAGGAUGAGUAAAAUUCUUUGUUAGAGACCUCAAGCUUUAGGGAUAUUAACUUGCAUGACAACUAUUAGGCUCGAGUCUUAAGUCUCCCUAUUAGUUUUGUUGUUUCCUCCUGGUCUCCUGGCUUAUGGAGAGUGUUUUACCCCUGGUAAGGGGACUAGUCGCCCUGAUUUCAUACCAGAUGAGAUACGUAGGUAGGAGGUUGAAGAGCAAUUUCUCUCCGGCACCCUUUUCUUGUGGUUUUCCGCCGUUGUGUUCACGCCUUUUCUUUGUUUUCGCGUGUGUUCACCCUUAUUUUUCGACUUGUGUUUACCGUGUCGAGCCUUUGUUUCGGCAUUGCUGGGUUGGUUGUGAGUACCGUUUGUUUCAGCAUGUGUGUGUGUGGUAUGUCAUACCUUGGGGAUUCUUUGUUAUUAUCUUGGGGGUUCAUAUUGGGGUCAUCUUUGGGGUUUCAUCUUCGGGGUUCAUUUGUGAGGAUCUGUUAUUCAUUUGGGGUUCAAUAUUGGGUUCAUCUUGGGGUUCAUUUGUGAUGAUUGUCUAUUCAUAUCGGCGGUUCAUUUGUGACCGGGAAUUGUUAUUCCAUUGGGGUUCAUCUUCGGCGGUUAUUUGUGACAAUGUGUUAUUCACUUGGGGUUCAUCUUUGAGGGUUCAUUUGUGGUGACUGGUUUAUCACAUUGGGAAUUUAUUCUCGGAUAUAUAGUUCCUUGUUGGGUUUUGUUCCAUAACUUUUCUCUCUGGUGUUCGCUGGUUAGCGUUUGUUAUUGUUCGGAGUGGGUGUAGAUCCAUAUAUGGCAUUCUGUUUCCUGUUUGUUAUGUUGGGAGUCGGGUGUAAAGUCCAUGUAAUUGGCAUUCUAUUUCCUUUUUGUGUUUAUUGUUGGGAGUCGGGUGUAAGUCCAUGUAUUGGGAAUUCUGUUUUCUUUUAGUGUUUCUUUUGACGUCUCCAGCGCCUUUUUGGGUGUCUUGUUUCAGCCGUGCGUUAGCCGGUAUCGAGUGCUACUGAUUCUCCUCUGGAAUAGACGAAGAUACGUAGGCAUAAGACGCGAUUCUUAGCGAGCAUGUCUCCCUUUCCCGGAACUACGUCGACCCUGAUGGUUUGUUUCUGAAAACUACGUAGCCCCAGGAUGGCGGACAUCUGCCGGUCCCACUUUCCUCCGUCUUUCUCUCCCCCACUGUUUAUCAUUCCAAUUCUGUGCAGUUUCUUUGAGCAUUUAUUAGCAGCAACCCUUCCUUUCCUUUGAGCUAUCUUUUUUGAGCCGUGAUGCCCGUUCGAGUACGGCGGACGUGAGGGGUGCUACACUUCCACUUCGCGUAAACCGACUCCCGUACCUUGUAACUCUGGUCGUAAGACCCGUUCCUUUCCUUUCUUAGGUUAGUCCUUCGCUUCUUUCGUCAUAAGAUAAUAGCGUCGGUGGCGGCUCUUAUUUUUCCCCGCGGUUGUUUUUCGCGUUGGCGACACCUAAGUUUAAUGUAAUUACUUUUGAGUGGCAUACGACAUUACUAAAUAAGUCAGUCUAUAAAAUCAAAGGAUGAUUUAGCACCAUGCAAAAUCAGUGGGGGUUUUUGGGUUGUUUUUUAUCGGUUAAGGCUGAAUCCAUGUACUUUUCUAGUUCCAAAAGACCAAUCUUGUACUAUGCAUCUAGAGCGUACUUUGGGGUAAUUGAGGAGAUUUUUGGAGCCUUAACUAUGUUUCUUUUUAACAGUCCAUUUUUUAGUGGCAAGUGGAUUUGACAAUAACAUGGUGUAGAAUUUUGCCCAUUAGGAUUAACAUAGGUUGAUCUUUGAAAGGUAACUUAUAUGAAAAACCAUUCCUCAUACAAUCUACGCAACAAGUUUUUUAUGUAUUCGAUCAUGCUGCACUAGAUCAUUAAUUAUUCUUCAAAGGAAAACAUCUUCUGAAGUACUAAUGAAAAUUAAUAUUUUAACUAGAGAACGCCUUGUUUAGCAACAUAUGUAAUCAAUCAUCUUGAAGAAAAUGAUUUUAGAUAUGUGAUGAUAUUCGCAGUGAUCAUGAAGAGGGCGAUACUGAGAAACUAGUACGUAUAAUUUUUAUAUCGCUAGUAAUUUAUAAUUAAUUCAAUUUUUAUUUACCUUCCUUUUUUCUUCCUUGUACUCAUAUAUUUGAAAGUUGUUGUUGAUUAUCUAAUUAGUUUCAAAAAUGUGUUCAAAAUUAUAGGUGUUUAACGACCAGUGACAAAUCCUAAUUGGACAAGACUACAAAACUUUCCCUUUUGGUUAUUGUCUUUGUUGGUUAAUCAAUCUUAUUUUAGUUUUGUUGUAAAAUUAUACAGCUGUGUUCGUUUUGGGUUUGCAUUUGGUGUUUUACAUGAAAUAUUUAUGGUACAAUGUUUUCAGAUUGAGAAUUUGACAAAAUGUAGCAAUGUUUUAUGUUUUAGGAAUCUCCAAAAUAUGGUUCUAUACUUCUGUAUAUGGGUUCUGUAAUACAAGUGCAUAAUAGUAUUAAAAAAAAAUUAUCCUCUCGGUUUUUACAUAAACCUGAGGUAAUAACAUAGAGAUAUUACCUCGGUUCUAAACCAACACCGAAAGUUUCAAUAUUAGGCACACCAUCCAGUUCUUAAAAUAAUAAAAAAUGCAAAUGUUGGGUAUGAACUCAUGCUGCAGAUAACUUACCCCUUAAUUGUUCAGAAUCUAGGGGUAAAAUUAUCCCUUUUCAUGACGCCCUUCGUUACCUCGCCUAGUAGCUGAGUUAAAUCAUUUUUCGUUUCUGCCAUAGAUGUGUUUUUUGUAGUAGUGAAUUAACUUAAAUCAAAUUAACCAGGAAACAUUUAAUUUCAUUAUUAUCAUCUUUUCCAUGACUCUUCGGGCCAACUAUCGGAUCUGAACGUGCACAUUUGUCAAAAUAUUGGAAGGCAACUUGAAAUGUCUCUUCCCUUUUUGGCUAUUUUAAACGCUUUUUCUUCAACUCUCUUCUUUUCAUCCUUUUACUCCCCUGAAAAGAAAGCAAAACCCUAAUAGAGCUUCUGAACUUCUGUUAUCUUCCUUCUACGCAUUUCUUUCCCAAAAAAUCUUCUGAGAAUCAACGAUGGUCAUGGUUCUCUUCCCUUCCUAAGAGUAACAUCACUCCUAUGUAUGCCUCAAUGGCGACGUCAUUAUGUUCGUUGCCCGGACUACUAACGGAACGUUAUAGGGCCACACUUUUCUUUUUCAAUCCCAUCUUUUUGAAGAGAUCUGAGUACUAUUAUCACAGGAAACCGCAAUGUGCUUUUGCAUUCGGUAGCAGGAAUAGUAGGUCUGAACGAAUGUUUGCCCUAAAUGGGAAUUCUGGAGUGGAUCCGAUGAAAGGAAGGAAGUUGAGGCACUCUUGGAUUUGUCUGGGUUGAACAAGGCCUACGGUGGAGGAAACGAAGGGAGUCGUUGUCAAGACUUUAACGUUCUUCCCUCGAAGAGGAGGAGGCGGAGGAUUAUAACAACUUUGAAAGACCACAACUAUUUUAGUUUGAGGCGACGGAACAAUGUAGCUUUCGAAGCUUGCAUCUUCUGGUGGUCCGAAUGGGAAGACUCUAUGUUGGAAAUUUGCCGUUCGAAUGACUUCUGCUCAAUUGUCUGAGAUCUUUGCAGAAGCUGGCACUGUCGUCUUGUUGAGGUUUUUCUGUCAUUUUGUUUUAGAUAAUCUUUAUUUGAUUUUUUUACUAUUCAUUGGGAAAAUUCUCCCAUUUUUUAUGUGGAUUUAUUUCAUAUGAUAUUUUGUGGGCUUUGUUUGAUUGAAUUAUAUAGGUGGUGUAUGAUCGAGUACGGCCAGAAGUAAGAGGAUUUGCAUUUGUUACAAUGAAGAGUGUUGGAAGAUGCUAAAAGCAGAAUUCAAAAUGUUUUGAUGGUCUGUAAGUCUUCUACAAUAGCUUGUAAUUAAGUUUGUUUUGAUUUAUUUAUGUUCAUCAACGGUAAUGUGCUCAUCAAAAGGUUGGUCAUGUUGAGAUUUCUAUCUAAUAAUCAUUUAUAGUUAGUUUGAAGUUGAUUUUUAUUGAUUAUAAUAUUUACAGCAAGUUGGUUGGUAGGAGUGCUCAAGGUGAACUUUCCAGAGAGUGCCCAUAGGAGGUGAAAGGUAGUAGUAAUGGAACAAUAAAUAGAAACGGAUACAAAGGCUUGUAGACAGUUAUCACAAGAUGUAUCGCUGGAAACCUGGCUGGGGACUGGACUCUUCAGAAUCUUAAGAGAUCUUUGCUGAACAGCCGGGACUAUUGGUGCUCGAGUCGUCUAUGAGAAGGACAAUGGGAAGAUCUCGAGGUUUUGGAUUCGUUACUUUUGGAAACUGCUGAGGAUUUACCAGGCUGCCUUUGAACGGCUAUGAACGCGCGUGGUAAGAACAAUUUCGGGAGAUUAGUUUUGCGAUCUCAUGUUAGUCUUAUGAUAUUUUCAGUCUAACAUAUAACCACAUUCCUUGCAAAUAUUUUUAGGAGGUUCAGGAUGCCCGCUGCGAUUGAAUUUGGCUGCAGAGAGGAAACCUUCUUCUCCUCCUCCAGUAAUUAAGGAAGUUACAGCACGCAAUGUUGAUAGUUCAACCUUCACUCCUCCUCCAGUAAUUGAGGAAAGACAGCAAGCAUGUUGAUAGUUCACCUUCAUCUUCCUGCCAGUAUUGAGGAAAGUACAGCAGCAAUUGUUGAUACGUUCGGAAUUGGUGUCUAGCGAAGUGCAUUAAGAAAAUAUGUUUUGAUCAAAGUUUUGCCUGCAAAAGCACAUCAUUUAGCUUUUUCUUCUCUAAACUAUAUUAUUCGUCAAAGUGACCUUGUCCACUAGAUUUUCAGACAGUUGUGAGAUCUAUCACCAUAUGAG